CAGCAGCCGCGGUAAUACGUAGGGCGCGAGCGUUAUCCGGAAUUAUUGGGCGUAAAGAGCUCGUAGGCGGUUUGUCGCGUCUGCCGUGAAAGUCCGGGGCUCAACCCCGGAUCUGCGGUGGGUACGGGCAGACUAGAGUGAUGUAGGGGAGACUGGAAUUCCUGGUGUAACGGUGAAAUGCGCAGAUAUCAGGAGGAACACCGAUGGCGAAGGCAGGUCUCUGGGCAUUAACUGACGCUGAGGAGCGAAAGCAUGGGGAGCGAACAGGAUUAGAUACCCGCGUAGUCCCUGUCUCUUAUAA
rnacentral:rRNA from 1 species